ACUCUCCUCCUUCCUUGGAAACAACUUUGGCUCUCCAAACGUUUAGGAUUUUCGAGGGUGUCUGAGAGUACGGAAAAAUCGAGAGGGUUAGCCAGAAAAAACGUGUGAGGUGGUUCGCUGGAUUUUCUUCGGUGAGUGGCCGGAGGGAGAACGUGUGAGGUGGUUCGCUGGAUUUUCUUCGGGGAGUGGCCGGAGGGAGAAGCAACCGAGGCUAUCGGUGUUGAAUAUCGUUGCGCGUUGGUCGGAAUAGGCGGGGGGUGUCGCCGCAUCGUCGGAAUCGGGGUUGUGACGUCGCCGUUGGCGGCGCAGCGACGAUUAGGGUUUUCGUGAGAUUUCAAAGAAGACGAAGGAAAACGGGUCGGGUUCACGUUCGGCCUCUGGACCAGCCCACGGGACGAACGCGGGCUCUGUGCGUUUCGGCCCAACGCGGACGCGCGCUGCAGCCUUGGUCUCGGCUCCGCACGCGUGCUCUCGGCUCGGCUUGACGUGUACGGCGGCUCGGCUCCGUCAAAUCCCGCAGCUCAGCUCGGCGGCUUAAUAGGUCGGCUCGGCAGCUCAGCUUGGUGAAUCGGUAUCACUAUAAUAUAUCGAUUCCAAGGUUUUUGGCCCUUCCGAAGCCGUUUCUGCCCUUAGUUUUACCAUCCGAGGACAUAUUUAACCACUGGGAUUAGCUCGUCGUGAGUGACUUCAACGAAGACCAUGAGGUAAAGGCAAGGCGCCAAUGUACGGUUGACGGUGGAGCUGAGGCCACCAUGGAAGUUGGAGACGUGAUAUUUUUAGGAGUUUACUUUCAUUAGAUUGUUUUAAGUUAUAGGAUUGAGUAUCGUUUUAUUUGGAUUUAUUUUGAAUUCAGUAUUAAAGGUUCAUUUUCGGAGUUUAGGUUUUGUUUUGGAUUCAUGAAUUUUUAGGAAAGACUAUUUCAAGGUUAUUCAUGAUGAGCUUCUGCUUAAUGAGAUAAGUAUGCAUGGGUGACGUCACUAAUUAGGUUAAAGAAAAUUAGGGGCGUUACAGUGAU